CGGCGGCCUCAGGUCCGGCGUCACUCAGACAAGGGGGCGGGUGGAGGAGGAAGCGGCCAAGUCCACAGUCCUGCUCCCGUGCCGCCGAGCACCGCCCACCUCAGCUGACCAGCCCUGUCCGCUACUAGGCCUCGCCUAGAGGAGGGAAAGGCCGUGGCGUCCGCUCCCUCCGCGGCUCAUGGCGACGACGCUUGGCACAUCCGGGACCCUCAGGCCGCUGCAGUCGCGUCGCCGGCUGCUCGGGCCCCAGCCCCGGCCGCUGUGGUGACUCCGCCGCGCCUCGCCGUCGCCCCCGUCCCGCCCGCCGCCCCAGCCGCCAGGGACAUGUCUAACCUCGGAGGCCGUAGGAACGGGCCUGUCGAAGUGCGCCUGACAGGUGGACAUGCCACCCCCGUUUUAGGAGAACUUGUAUUUGGUUUGAGAAGGAAUUGGAAUCACGGCGUUAUCCUACCUUCACCAUUUACCCCUGAUAAAUUGUCCACGUUUAUAUUUGGGAAUCAUAUUGACAGGUCAUGAAAAUGAGACCAAAAGAUCUCUGGAAGCGAUUAAUGAUAAAAUUUCAUGGAGAAGAAGGCCUUGACUACGGAGGGGUUGCCAGACUUUAGAUAUGUUAAUGCAGGUUGAGCAUCUCUAAUCCGAGGGGGAAUGUCUCAUAUGGUGUCCAAGAAAUGGGCACAUCUCACAGAGGGCCUAGACUCAGGAGGGCUACAGUAUGAGACAUUUCCCCUCCCUUGUGAGGUGAUGACAACUCCGUGAGGGUGGAGAUUAUACAUCUCUCAUCAUUUCAGCAACAAGGAAAUAAAUUAGUGGCAGAGUAAGGGUGACUUGAGAUCUCUUGGAAGCGAGGAUCCUUUAAAAAUCCUGGAAUAUACACUGCAGUAAAAGAACAAAGCAUACCUCAGCCUUAAACGACUGAAGAAGAAUGUCAAGUGGGGAAGUGGCUUUGGUUUUCAGUUUGUGGGUUCUGAAUCCACACAAAGACAGGAUUGCUUUCUGAAAACCUGAAUUAAUUAUUGUCCUUACCUCAAUAAGACAAAAAAUUAGAAUCAAAAUCGUUAGUAUUACAGUCACAGAUAUCACCAAGAUUAGUUUGUUGUUAUAGCCAUAUCCUGGAACUUCUUUCGUGAGCUAAAAAAAAAAAAAAAGAAAAAAGGAAAGAACAAUUAAAAAAAGAGUGAAAGCUAACUUUUCAAAACCCCAGUAUUCUAGUUGAGUAGCUUCUUUUAGUCAAAGUCCAGGCGGCGGCCCUCCAGCUUCUGCAGGUGGUGCUGGAUCUCCUUCAGGUCUUUCUCACAUAGGUUCUGGAGGGGGUCAAUGAAGUUAUGCUUGACCUCUAUGUCCAGGGAGUCCUUCACCUCUGCCAGGUGCUUCAUGGGCUCGCCGGCAUCCAGCAGUGCAUCGCUGAAGUUGGACUCGUCGCGCAGCUCCUUCCCAUGGCGGAUCAGGCACUCGCCCAGGAGCCCCCCUGACUGCAGGUAGCCGGGGUUCUUCACCUGGCCCCGGAUCUUGCACGCGGUGUUGAGCAUGGUCAGUUUAGCCUGCGAGGCUGGGUUGGGCUGCGGGUACUCGAUGGUCCUGGACAGUACUUACGUCACCGCCUUGCUGAUGACAUCCACCUUCUCCAUCUCUUCGAAGUCAUCAUCCAGCUUGGUCCCCUCAGCCCCUCCGACCUUCUCACUGACCAGUUGGCUCGCCUUGUAGAACUGCUUCUUCAGCCCGGCAACCGACAUGCUGCCUCCUGCCGCGGAACCUUCCGCCCAGACCCCCCUGCCCAGACCCCGCCAGCGACAGGCUCCCGGGCACCACCAACCCUCUGCGCGCCUCAGCGGCCCCCAUCAGCACCGCCUCCACCACCCGCUUGCCAGCUCGGCGCCCGCCCCGGCGCCGCCUCGAGUUCAUGAUUCUUUAGUCUCCUUCAAUCUAGAUCUGUUCCCAGGAUUGUUUAAAAGCAUACUGACAAACCUUUGAGACUGUAAAUGACCUGAGGUAUACAUUAUCUUUACUUGAGAAUAGUAAUUUUUCAAUAUGCAUUAAAGAUCAUUACACAUGAGCUAAGACAAAUGAGCUGGUCUACUUACUUUGUAUAUAAAUGUGUAAACUCCUGAAGACUUCCAAUAAUGAACUCCAA
rnacentral:lncRNA from 1 species